GUCAAUAUCUUUUCACUAUAAUAUUCCUAAAAACUGUAUACCCAUUGACCAAUAUGCCCUUUGAUUCCAAUCCCCAAAAGUUCUGCCCUAUUUACACAGACGCUUCAACCAGAAAAUAGCUUUGAGCAUAGCUUUAGAAAAGAAAGAAUGAGGCAACAGAGAGAUUGGGAUUUUCUGUAAAAGGGUGGUUUCCCCUCUAUGUUAUGCCUGUGAUUUCUCCAUUGAAAAUCAACAGCCUUUUCAAUUAGACAAAAAAACAAAAAAAAAAUCAUCCAAACAGACCCUUAAUAUAUUCCUCUUUCUCUUCCUCCUCUUCUUGUGCUGCUGCUACUGAAUACUUUAUAUAAAGGGGCCGUGAUGAUUACUUCUCCUUUCUGGGUUGUGUUCAAUUCAUGGCUAUGAGAAAAUAUCCGACCUGUAUCUUGGCGGGGCGACCCGGGCAAUCUGGAGGAGAUUGCAGCCAUGGCGGUUUUGAGAAACUCAAUGCCUGAUCAUUGUGAGAUAUGAGCCUCAUAUGAAAAUAGCAAAAAUCUCAUUAGUUUAAGUCUGAGGCUGCUGUGAAAGCAGAGGGCUGUGGGGAGUUUCAAUUGAUGGUUUUGCCCCUCUCUGUCAUUCUCUGAUGCUGAUGAUCACUCAAAUGAAAAAAAUUUCUGAUUCCAAAACCAGCCUUUUGGUGAAAAUACAUAUAACCUUUCUAUUUUCCUUUCUUGUUACGCCGAGGCUAUGAAGAUUUUGUUCUUCUGUGAAAGAUGAAACAAGAGAUUUCUAUUGAGCUGUGUAUUGGAAAAUAUUCCACUUCUUGGUGCUUCUUCUAUGUCCUGUAAGGCUAACUGAUGCUUGCAGCCAUGGCGGUUUUACCAAAGUUUUUUUGGUUUCUGUCUGAUGAAAGGCGAAUCUGAGCCUACGCCAUUACUUUGAGUUUGGUUUUUGCUUUUCGCUGCUCCUUGGUUUUACCCCAUUAAUUUGAGCUUACUCAAAAGCUUUCACUAAUGACUCAGUCCUAAUUCCUAACGAAAGAAAGAGAAAUAUAUACAAGAAAUAAUUAAUAUUUACAGCUUUCAGGAUAGUAUAAAAAGAACUGUUAUGGAGAUGUAACAAAACAAAAGCUCAAGAAAACGAGAAUGAGGCUUCAGAGAGUUUAGGAUUUUCUGCUGAAAGAGUGGUUGCCUCUCUCUGUAUUAGCCCAUGAUUUAUCCACUACUGUAACAAUCCCAACAACCCUGUAAAAAUUUCAUGGAAUGGCCAGUUUUCAUCUUGCUAUUUAAGCUAUAUCCAGUUUUUCAAAGUAUUAAUUUGUAGUCAGUGUUGGUGAGUAUGAUUGACUGCUUGAAAGAGGCGAUGAUGAUUUUUUUGUCAAUCUUCUAUUCCCUUCUGAUCUUGUCAGUUGGGCAUUUGAGAUGAUUCGACUCGUAUCUUGGCAGGGCAUGCCCCCAGAUUUCUGGUGUUUUUUUGCAGCUAUGGCGUUGUCGGAUAUCCUUUUACUUCAGUUAUAACACGGAUCUGAGCCUUAAAACCGUAUAUACCCAGUUGGACCGAAGCAGGGGUGAUUUGCACAAAUAGGAUGCUUUGAGGCCACUAUUUAUAUUUUGUUGCGUAAGUAUUUCUGCAAGCAGAGAGCUGUGGGGUGUUUCAAUGGGUGGUUUUGCCCCUCUGUCAUUCUACGCUGCCAAUGAUCACUCAAAUGAAAAACUUUUCCAAUUACAAAACCACCCUUUUGGUGAAAAUACAUUUGACCUUUCUAGUUUCCUUUUCUUGUUACUCCCUCGGUUUCAUUUUAUGUGCAAUGAGACUGAAAAUUUUGUUCUUCUGUAGGAUAAGAAUCAGAUAUCUUUCUCUUACAACAACAGCAACAUACCAGUGAAAUCCCAGUGUAGUCUGGGUAGUGUGUACGCAGACGUUACGCCUGCCUACCUUGUGAAAAUAGAGAGGUUGUUUCCGAUAGAGUUGUAAAAAUCAAAAUUUGAGAUUAUCCAUACUGUAUCUUGGCGGGGCAUGCCCCCAAAUUUCUGGUGGUUUAUGCCGCCAUGGUGUCUUCGGAUCGCUUUUUGCAUCUGUCAAGUUGAAGUGUCUCGAUGACAAUUCAUGACAAGUUUGAGUUGUUAUCUAUGUAUUCUGCCUAUCUGAAAUAAUAAUAAAAUAUAAUACAAUACAACGGUAACAACCAUCCAAACAAGCUGUUAUUAGUCUAUUUGGUUUAGAGACAAGUUAUGUCAGUGGUGGUGAGUAUGAUUGAUGGCUUGAAUUCAUUCCCUUUUGAGCUUAUUAAUCAGGCAUUUGAGAUUAUCUGACCCGUAUUUUGGCAGGGCAUGCUUUAGGUUUCCCUUAGUGGUAUUUGCAGUCAUCGCGUUGUCAGACUCUUUUUGCUUGAGUUAUAACAUAGAUCUGAGCCUCAAAAAGGAAGCACAAAAAUGGUGAUAAUCUCGUUAGUUUAAGUUUAAGGUUGUGGUGAAAGCAGAGAGCUGUGGAGAGUUUCUAUGGGUGGUUUUGCCCCUGUCUUUUUCUGCUGCCGAUGAUCUCUUAAAUGAAAAAUUUUCCAGUUGCAAAACCACCCUUUUGGUGAAAUUUCAGUUAACCUCCCUCUUUUCCUUUUCUAGUAACUCCCUCCGCUUUAUUUUAUGUGUGAUGAGGCAUGAAGAUCUUGUUCUUCUGUGGAAGAUGAAUCAGAUGUAUCUUUCUAAUGAGCUGAAAAAAUCUGUAUCUUGGCGUGGCAGCUCAGGUGGGUGUUUGAGAUAUUUGGAAAAAUUCCAUUUUUUUGGUUUUUCUUAUGUGUCUCACAAGAGUAACUGAUGCUUGCAGCUAUGGCUGCUUUUUCAAAGCUUUUUGGUUUUUGUCUGAGAAAAGGCGAAUCUAAGCCUAUUACAUUGCCUUGAUUUUGUUAAAAGAAUGAGCUUUUGGACUCGGAAAAUGAAGGAGUUCCUAAGGGUGGUUGCUCUGUUUCUCUUUGAGUUGAUACGUAUCUUGGCUUGACAAAAUUCAGUCGAAUUUGUGUGGUGGUUUUAUUUUCUCUUACAGUAAGCCAUCUGCCUUUUGUAGCCAUGGCGGACUUGCUCAUUUUCUGAUGGUUUUUGGACAAAUCUGAUUUGGAUCGGGUUGCGCGCCGCAACAAUAGUUAAUAAAAGUGCUUAGUAACAGUUACGAGUU